AAUGGGGGAAACCCUGAUGCAGCGAUGCCGCGUGAGUGAAGAAGGCCUUUGGGUUGUAAAGCUCUUUCGUCGGGGAAGAAAAUGACUGUACCCGAAUAAGAAGGUCCGGCUAACUUCGUGCCAGCAGCCGCGGUAAUACGAAGGGACCUAGCGUAGUUCGGAAUUACUGGGCUUAAAGAGUUCGUAGGUGGUUAAAAAAGUUGGUGGUGAAAUCCCAGAGCUUAACUCUGGAACUGCCAUCAAAACUUUUUAGCUAGAGUAUGAUAGAGGAAAGCAGAAUUUCUGGUGUAGAGGUGAAAUUCGUAGAUAUUAGAAAGAAUACCAAUUGCGAAGGCAGCUUUCUGGAUCAUUACUGACACUGAGGAACGGAAGCAUGGGUAGCGAAGAGGAUU
rnacentral:rRNA from 1 species